rnacentral:rRNA from 1 species
UACAGAUGGGGCAAGCGUUGUUCGGAAUUACUGGGCGUAAAGGGCGCGUAGGCGGCCUGCUAAGUCGAACGUGAAAUCCCCGGGCUCAACCCGGGAACUGCGUCCGAUACUGGCAGGCUUGAAUCCGGGAGAGGGAUGUGGAAUUCCAGGUGUAGCGGUGAAAUGCGUAGAUAUCUGGAGGAACACCGGUGGCGAAGGCGGCAUCCUGGACCGGCAUUGACGCUGAGGCGCGAAAGCCAGGGGAGCAAACGGG